CCGCCCGUAGCUCAGUGGAACAGAGCACUGGUCUUCGGAACCAGGUGUCGUGGGUUCGAAUCCCGCCGGGCGGGCCA
rnacentral:tRNA from 1 species